AAACUUUCAACAACGGAUCUCUUGGCUCUCGCACCGAUGAAGAGCGCAGCGAAAUGCGAUAACUAAUGUGAAUUGCAGGCAUCGUGAAUCAUCGAGUUCUUGAACGCACAUUGCGCCCUGUGGUAUUCCGCAGGGCAUGCCUGUUUGAGCGUCAGU
rnacentral:rRNA from 1 species